ensembl:lncRNA PPP1R3B-DT PPP1R3B divergent transcript
GGUGAGCCUGUAAAGUUUUAGGAUCAAGGUUAAAGGCCCUUUUUUGCUCUCUUCUCUCUUGGACCUUCAGGCGACGGCUUGGGUAUCUUCCAAGCGAAUUUUCCUUUCUUUCCUGUUCUUUUUUUUUUUUGAGACGGAGUCUUGCUCUGUCGCCCAGGCUGGAGUGCAGUGGCGUGAUGUCGGCUCACUGCAAGCUCCGCCUCCCGGGUUCACGCCAUUCUCCUGCUUCAGCCUCCUGAGUAGCUGGGGCUACAGGCGCCCGCCACCACGCCCGGCUAAUUUUUUUGUAUUUUUUUUUUUAGUAGAGACGGGGUUCCACCGUGUUAGCCAGGAUGGUCUCGAUCUCCUGACCUCGUCAUCCUCCCGCCUUGGCCUCCCAAAGUGCUGGGAUUACAGGCUUGAGCCACCGCGCCCCGCUCUUUCGUGUUCCAAAGGCUUUUUAAAUAAACUUCCACUCCUGUCCUGGAUUCUGCUUUAUGGCCCUCAGUCGAAUUCUUUCUUCUGAGGAGGCAAGGACUGAAGUUGCUUCUGACCAGUACAGGUACGCCGCAGGAGAAAACGAAUACAGCAGGGAUGACUUCCACCAGCUCCACUUUGCAGCUCUGAGGUGUAUUAAAAAUAAACCUAGAGCCCCACCAAAUGAAUCCGCUGGCACGUGGACCUCAGAUGGGGGAAACUGAGGACUGAAUUCUGACCACCCUCCUUUGUUCUAAAUUUCUUCCUGAAGGACCUGGAAGAAGUCAUGCCACGGGCCAGACCUUAACAUUCCUUUCGGCUUACCCCAGGAUUUCAGACGAAGCUUCACUUUCCUAACCAGUCACAAAUCAGAGAAUUUUUGAUUCCACCUAUGACCUGUGAGCUCCUGCUUCAAGAUAUUCCACCUUUUUUAGGCCAAACCAAUGUAUAACCUCCAAGUGUCGAUUUACACUUUCGACUGUAACUUCUGCUUUCCUGAGAUUUACCCCUGCCUUUAAAAACCCUUGCUUGUAAUCCCUCAGGGAGGCCGUGUAUUUAUUAAUCAUGAGCUGCCCAAUUCUCCUUGCUUGGUGCCCUGCAAAUAAACACCCUCUUUUCUCCCACUGCAAAA